UGGCAGUGAUGGUGUUGUGUUGCUCAACAUUUGCAUGAAAUAGACAACUCGUCUAUUUUGGCCCCGCCUAGCUGGCGGCAUAGCAGCCGCUUCGCUCU